CCGUGCAAAGGUAGCGUAAUCACUUGUCUUUUAAAUGAAGACCUGUAUGAAAGGCAUCACGAGAGUUUAACUGUCUCUAUUUUCUAAUCAAUGAAAUUGAUCUAUUCGUGCAGAAGCGAAUAUAAUAACAUUAGACGAGAAGACCCUAUGGAGCUUCAAACACUUAAAUUAAUUAUGUAAUCAUCCACUUCCCAGGAUAUAAACAAAAUAUACAAUACUUCUAAUUUAACUGUUUUUGGUUGGGGUGACCAAGGGGAAAAACAAAUCCCCCCCAUCGAUUGAGUACUAAGUACUUAAAAAUUAGAAUGACAAUUCUAAUUAAUAAAAUAUUUAUCGAAAAAUGACCCAGGAUUUCCUGAUCAAUGAACCAAGUUACCCUAGGGAUAACAGCGCAAUCCUUUCUCAGAGUCCCUAUCGAAGAAAGGGUUUACGACCUCGAUGUUGGAUCAGGACAUCCUAAUGGUGCAACCGCUAUUAAGGGUUCGUUUGUUCAACGAUUAACAGUCCUACGUGAUCUGAGUUCA
rnacentral:rRNA from 1 species